AUUGAACGCUGGCGGCAUGCCUUACACAUGCAAGUCGAACGGCAGCACGGGAGCAAUCCUGGUGGCGAGUGGCGAACGGGUGAGUAAUAUAUCGGAACGUGCCCAGUCGUGGGGAUAACGUAGCGAAAGCUACGCUAAUACCGCAUACGAUCUAUGGAUGAAAGCGGGGGAUCGCAAGACCUCGCGCGAUUGGAGCGGCCGAUAUCAGAUUAGGUAGUUGGUGAGGUAAAGGCUCACCAAGCCGACGAUCUGUAGCUGGUCUGAGAGGACGACCAGCCACACUGGGACUGAGACACGGCCCAGACUCCUACGGGAGGCAGCAGUGGGGAAUUUUGGACAAUGGGCACAAGCCUGAUCCAGCAAUGCCGCGUGCAGGAUGAAGGCCUCGGUU
rnacentral:rRNA from 1 species